GCAGCACGGGAGCAAUCCUGGUGGCGAGUGGCGAACGGGUGAGUAAUAUAUCGGAACGUGCCCAGUCGUGGGGGAUAACGUAGCGAAAGCUACGCUAAUACCGCAUACGAUCUACGGAUGAAAGCGGGGGACUCGUAAGGGCCUCGCGCGAUUGGAGCGGCCGAUAUCAGAUUAGGUUGUUGGUGAGGUAAAAGCUCACCAAGCCUGCGAUCUGUAGCUGGUCUGAGAGGACGACCAGCCACACUGGAACUGAGACACGGUCCAGACUCCUACGGGAGGCAGCAGUGGGGAAUUUUGGACAAUGGACGCAAGUCUGAUCCAGCAAUGCCGCGUGCAGGACGAAGGCCUUCGGGUUGUAAACUGCUUUUGUACGGAACGAAACGGUCUGCUUUAAUACAGUGGGCUAAUGACGGUACCGUAAGAAUAAGCACCGGCUAACUACGUGCCAGCAGCCGCGGUAAUACGUAGGGUGCGAGCGUUAAUCGGAAUUACUGGGCGUAAAGCGUGCGCAGGCGGUUAUAUAAGACAGAUGUGAAAUCCCCGGGCUCAACCUGGGACCUGCAUUUGUGACUGUAUAGCUAGAGUACGGUAGAGGGGGAUGGAAUUCCGCGUGUAGCAGUGAAAUGCGUAGAUAUGCGGAGGAACACCGAUGGCGUANGCAAUCCCCUGGACCUGUACUGACGCUCAUGCACGAAAGCGUGGGGAGCAAACAAGAUUAGAUACCCUGGUAGUCCACGCCCUAAACGAUGUCAACUGGUUGUUGGGUCUUCACUGACUCAGUAACGAAGCUAACGCGUGAAGUUGACCGCCUGGGGAGUACGGCCGCAAGGUUGAAACUCAAAGGAAUUGACGGGGANCCGCACAAGCGGUGGNUGAUGUGGNUUNNUUCGAUGCNNCGCGAAAAACCUUACCCACCUUUGA
rnacentral:rRNA from 1 species